GCCUGGGUGGCUCAGUCGGUUAAGCAUCUGACUUCGGCUCAGGUCGUGAUCUCGCGGUCCGUGAGUUCGAGCCCUGCAUCAGGCU
rnacentral:tRNA from 1 species